UCCAAACACCUUGGUUCUCACAGAAGGACACU
rnacentral:piRNA from 2 species